CAGAAUUUAGUUUACUCAAAAUAUUGGCUUUGGAAGUUAAAGAUAAUUUAAAUAUUUUUUCUGA
rnacentral:tRNA from 1 species